rnacentral:rRNA from 1 species
UACGUAGGGCGCAAGCGUUGUCCGGAAUUAUUGGGCGUAAAGAGCUCGUAGGCGGUUUGUCGCGUCUGCUGUGAAAACUCGAGGCUCAACCUCGGGCUUGCAGUGGGUACGGGCAGACUAGAGUGCGGUAGGGGUGACUGGAAUUCCUGGUGUAGCGGUGGAAUGCGCAGAUAUCAGGAGGAACACCGAUGGCGAAGGCAGCUGCCUGGCCCAGAACUGACGCUGAGGUGCGAAAGCGUGGGGAGCGAACGGG